UGCCCAGCAACUCCUAUCCCUACCUCCUCGUGGUACUGGCCAGCGUUCGAGCAACCUUAGGGAAGAUCGGGAAACCAAUUCCAGUGGAAACUUUGGUCGUAUGCAGACAGGAAAAG
rnacentral:ribozyme from 1 species